AUGCAAUUUUAUGAUGAAAAACUUAAUUUGGAAGUUUCUAUACCUAGAAAACUUAAUGAUGAGUGGGAACCUACUAUAAAGAUUAGAAUUAAAGAUUAUGAGUGUUUUGCUUUGUGUGAUUUGGGUGCUAGUGUUUCCACGAUUCCGAAAACUUUAUGUGAUAUUCUAGGUUUCCAUGAUCUUGAUGAUUGCUCUUUAAAUUUGCACCUUGCGGAUUCCACCAUUAAAAAGCCUAUGGGAAGUAUCAAUGAUGUUCUAAUUGUUGCAAAUAGAAAUUUGGUUCCCGUAGAUUUUAUCGUUCUUGAUAUAGAUUGCAAUCUUUCUUGCCCUGUUAUUCUUGGUAGCCUUUCCUUAGAAUGA
rnacentral:rRNA from 1 species